AGCGGCCGCGAAAUUCGCCCUUAGAGUUUGAUCAUGGCUCAGAUUGAACGCUGGCGGCAGGCCUAACACAUGCAAGUCGAGCGGUAACAGGAAUAGCUUGCUAUUCGCUGACGAGCGGCGGACGGGUGAGUAACGCGUAGGAAUCUGCCCGGUAGUGGGGGAUAGCCCGGAGAAAUCCGGAUUAAUACCGCAUACGCCCUAAGGGGGAAAGCAGGGGAUCUUCGGACCUUGCGCUAUCGGAUGAGCCUGCGUCGGAUUAGCUUGUUGGUGGGGUAAUGGCCUACCAAGGCAACGAUCCGUAGCUGGUCUGAGAGGAUGAUCAGCCACACCGGAACUGAGACACGGUCCGGACUCCUACGGGAGGCAGCAGUGGGGAAUAUUGCACAAUGGGCGCAAGCCUGAUGCAGCCAUGCCGCGUGUGUGAAGAAGGCCUUCGGGUUGUAAAGCACUUUCAGCAGGGAGGAAAGGUUGUAAAUUAAUACUUUGCAGCUGUGACGUUACCUGCAGAAGAAGCACCGGCUAACUCCGUGCCAGCAGCCGCGGUAAUACGGAGGGUGCAAGCGUUAAUCGGAAUUACUGGGCGUAAAGCGCGCGUAGGCGGCUUGUUAAGCCAGAUGUGAAAGCCCCGGGC
rnacentral:rRNA from 1 species